rnacentral:sRNA from 1 species
GUGUCAGACUGAGAAUUUAAUCCUCUAUUUAUCUACAGAAAAGUUAGAGAAAGGCAGUGGCAAUGCAAGCUUCCCCAAACUAUCCUUCCUUACUAAGUCCAAGUAUCCCUGACCUCUAGGGAUGACUGGGCAAUACAGUCUCCAUACUUUUUUGUAGACAUUGCCCACA